rnacentral:tRNA from 1 species
GCCCCUAUGGCGUAGUGGUAGCGCGUGUCACUUGUAUGAUCACACAAUUGCAAGAAUAUGACAAGGUCUCUCGUUCGAUCCGGGAUGGGGGCA